GCGGCAUGCCUUACACAUGCAAGUCGAACGGCAGCACGGGGGCAACCCUGGUGGCGAGUGGCGAACGGGUGAGUAAUACAUCGGAACGUGUCCUGUAGUGGGGGAUAGCCCGGCGAAAGCCGGAUUAAUACCGCAUACGCUCUGCGGAGGAAAGCGGGGGAUCUUCGGACCUCGCGCUACAGGGGCGGCCGAUGGCAGAUUAGCUGGUUGGUGGGGUAAAGGCCUACCAAGGCGACGAUCUGUAGCUGGUCUGAGAGGACGACCAGCCACACUGGGACUGAGACACGGCCCAGACUCCUACGGGAGGCAGCAGUGGGGAAUUUUGGACAAUGGGCGCAAGCCUGAUCCAGCAAUGCCGCGUGUGUGAAGAAGGCCUUCGGGUUGUAAAGCACUUUUGUCCGGAAAGAAAACCUCUGCCCUAAUACGGUGGGGGGAUGACGGUACCGGAAGAAUAAGCACCGGCUAAC
rnacentral:rRNA from 1 species